UGCCACAAAUGGCCCAAGUGCACCUCACAACCGAGGGAACAUUGAAGGUUGUUGGACACCAAGAUAUGGUUGAGGCUGUUGGCCGCAGCAACCUGGUUAACAUACUGAAUAUUGCGCCGGUAGCGCCCGCUACCACUCAGGAAGAGGAAAAAGUCGACCUUCGACGCAUUUCCAUGGCGGUGGACUACGCCGACGU